AUUGAACGCUGGCGGCAUGCCUUACACAUGCAAGUCGAACGGCAGCACGGGAGCAAUCCUGGUGGCGAGUGGCGAACGGGUGAGUAAUAUAUCGGAACGUGCCCAGUCGUGGGGGAUAACGCAGCGAAAGCUGUGCUAAUACCGCAUACGAUCUACGGAUGAAAGCGGGGGAUCGCAAGACCUCGCGCGAUUGGAGCGGCCGAUAUCAGAUUAGCUAGUUGGUGGGGUAAAGGCCCACCAAGGCGACGAGCUGUAGCGGGUGUGAGAGGACGACCAGCCACACUGGAACUGAGACACGGUCCAGACUCCUACGGGAGGCAGCAGUGGGGAAUUUUGGACAAUGGGCGCAAGCCUGAUCCAGCAAUGCCGCGUGCAGGAUGAAGGCCUUCGGGUUGUAAACUGCUUUUGUACGGAACGAAACGGCCCUUUCUAAUACAGGGGGCUAAUGACGGUACCGUAAGAAUAAGCACCGGCUAACUACGUGCCAGCAGCCGCCGUAAUAC
rnacentral:rRNA from 1 species